ensembl:lncRNA
AGGUUCCCAGGCUAGGGGUCGAAUCGGAGCUGUAGCCACCGGCCUACACCAGAGCCACAGCAACGCGGGAUCCGAACCACGUCUGCAACCUGCACCACAGCUCACGGCAACGCCGGAUCGUUAACCCACUGAGCAAGGGCAGGGACCGAACCCGCAACCUCAUGGUUCCUAGUCGGAUUCGUUAACCACUGCGCCACGAUGGGAACUCCCCAAUUGGGAAAUUUCAAAUGACGGAUUUUGUAAAUUUUUCCUUUUCAAAACGAAUAAGCAGUAAGAUAGAGCUACUCUGGGCCUGUAGCUUUGUAGGCCCAGAAAUAGAUGAUCUUUUCUCUGUUUAUGGUACCUACCUCUCUCUUGUAUGUAUUUGAAUGAACUAUACUUUCAAAUUAAGGAUGGAUUAAGAGUCAGCUAGGGAGAGUUUGAGGCCUCUCAGCAGAGUGGAGGGGAGGGCCUGAUGCCUAAAUUAGUAAUAUUCACCACUUAUCUUUGCUUUGGUAGGCCUUGCAUGGGUACACUGUUAAUACUUAAUAUAUAGUAGGUAUAAUUACCAAACCAAUGUGGGUUUAAUACUCUGACUUGUGAAGGAAAUUGAACAGUGAUCGAUGCUUAAAUCAAGGGGAGUAAGAAGAAAGGAAUCAUUGAGGAAAUACUAGAAUCACUUAUAAAAAAGACAUUCUACUAAACAUGCUUUUUAAAAAACAUUAACAAGUUAAGGAUCUGGUGUUGCUAUGAGCUGUGGUGUAGGUUGCAGACAUGGCUUGGAUCCCACAUUGCAGUGGCUCUGGUGUAGGCCACCGGCUACAGCUCUGAUUCGCCCCCUGACGUGGGAACCUCCAUAUGCCGCAGGUACGGCCCUAAAAAGACAAAAAAUCAGAAAUAAAUAAAAAAGCCUAACAAAUAGAUAAGUUACAUAGGAGUGGGUAAUAGGGAUUUAAUAAAAAAGGUAGAGCUGGUUAGGAGUGUGGGGCCAGGACACUGCAGUGACAGUUGCGUGGACGGGAGGCGGGUUCAUGAAGUGAUGUUUGUGCUGGUUCUUCCUCAUCUUGUGUUACUUGACGGGAAGUGAGGAAAUGGCCUUGUCAUCACAGGGCAGCUUCGGUUUCCUUUGGUGUUGCUUUGUUUCUGAAUGCUGUGCUUCAAAACUGUUUUCUUAGAUUUUCUCACAUCGGUCUCAGACCCUUGCUAACCUUUGAAACAAAUGAGUCAGAAGCCACAUUUGGUUAAAGCCAGAAGGGACAUUCUUGUCUGAGGAUUACUGAAGUUGAAGAGCAGGACAUGGAAUUCACUUUUUGCAAUGAGAUCUCAUGCAGUAGAAUUCGGAUUUGUGCAUCAGCAUUGGGUAAAGAGUAAACUGCAUAAGCAGAGGCAGUAUUGCGUAUUUACCAGGAGCUAGUGCUGCCCUGUAGUUGUUUCCAUAGAUUGUAGUUCCCAUUUUAAAAUAGCACAGCUGCUUAUUUCUCCUUUAGCAGUAUGGGGAUAGGAGUUAGUACAAUGAGGUCACUCUGUCAUCUAGGUGUGUACGUCCUCUUGUUGAGCUGUACUCAAAAGCAGAAAGUCAAAUGGCUUGGUAUUUUUGGUAUCCCUUGAAUCUGGGAACUUUUUGUAGCUAUAAGCAUUAACCUUUCCUGGCUGCCUAAUACCCCACUGCCUAUGAUCUGCCAGAAUAGUAAGCUGUAGGUGUUGAUUACAUUAGUGUCUAUAAAUUUACAAUUGAUGUCGGAUUCACCUCUAAUACUAGUCUAACUUUUUGUUAGAGCUCUUACUUCUUCUUUUUAAAAACCCAUUAAUAGUGUGUCUGAUGCCCCAGGUUUUGAUUUGCAUUCAGAUUAAAGACAUCAAAUGUGUAUUUUCAAGGCUGAAAACAAAAUCUGUGACAUUUUUUAGUGUGUCAUAUACUACUAAUUUCCAAUUUUGAAGAUGGUUGGAUGACAUCUUCCCAUUAUUGGCUGGGAAAGUCUUCUUGUGCAUACCAUGUAUUUAAAAGGGUUUUGCUGAGCUUGUUCCCUCUUCUUCCUUUCAUUAGGGCAAUGUCCAAAGUUUCUCCUGUUAGAUAUGGUGCUAUACUUGUGUAGUUUCAUCAGUUCAGUAAAGCUUAUUGUACAUUCUAUGCUUGUCCUUUUUUCCCUAAGAGGACAGUGUGAUCAGUGUGCUUGGGGAGAGGAGAAUGGAUCGAAGCGAAGUUAGCCGGCUCAGACCUGCCCUGUAAGUAGGUGCUUCUCAACCCAAGUGUGUUUUGUGAACCUCCAGCUCCGAGAAACAGAGAUGAUUCUUGAAUAGUGUUCCACAGUCAAAUUAGCUUGGAAGCGGAUAUGUUUUCUGUUCCUCUCUUAGAGGGAUGUAAUGCAUAUUUGCAUUUUAGAUCUGUACCAUCUUAUGUUUGAAAAGAAAGCAAAGAGACCCUGUGAACUUCUAAUGAAGCAUUUCCAUUUGACCAAGGCUGUCUCUUUUUAGUAGAAUACCUGUUAACUUCCCCACAACCAAUGCGUGGAAGAAUGCUGCUUUAACUUGUUCCAUGGAAUAAUUCUUGAUUUAAAUAGCAUUCAGAGAAAGGAAUGUGGCAGCUGUUGCUUCAAAUAAUCCAUCAAUAUACCUAGUUUCUUGUUAUAGGAAGUUUAUCAUCUUCUAUUCGUGAAGAUGGUGUCUGUUAGACUCUUUGCUGGGAUUUAAUCUAGAGAAGAAAGUGUAGUAUAAGCCAAGGGAAGCUAAGUAUACAGAACAAAAAUGGGUAUAGUUCUCACUAGCAUGAGUAAAUUCAUAAAUCAUUAGGUGUAUCGUGGAGCCAAAGAAGUUGAUUGCUUGGAUUUAUGGAGAGAGGUGUUGCAAAAUUGUUUGUUCUUAUACUUGAAAGUUAAAUGUCUCGCGGAUGUUAGUCUGUUAACUAAUAAUAUGGAAAAAGCUUCUCUCUCUCUCUCCUUCCCUAUCUCCUUCUCUCCCUCUCUCUUCCCUCCCCCUUGUGGAUUUAAAUAAUGUAAAUAUGAAAAUUCAAAUUUCCCUCUUUUGCCUUUUGCAACACACUCUUUCAGAUAACACCACACAAUUAUAAUUCAAGUGAAAGGAAAAAAA